rnacentral:lncRNA from 1 species
AUAUCUAACGUCUUUGCCAAAGUGCCUCCUUCCGUCUCCGGAGUCCCGUAACUGCAUCUUGCGCACAAAGGCGGACUGGGUUCAGCAGCGAACCCCACCAGAGCACACCGAUCCCGAUGGCGCGGAAGGUGCUCUGCUAGCGGCAACGAAGAUGGAUAUUUAGUGCAAACACUGGGAGACCGACUGCCUCGAACAUUCCAAAGAGGACCUUCAGUGGGCAGAAUGUUUCUGCCAAUGAGGACUCAGGAAGCGACCACAAGGUUCUGCUCUUGAAGAGAAGGCUAGGAUGGGCCUCAGUGAUAAAAGGUGCCGUGGAAAACAAAGUGUAAUCAAAAGAUGAAAGCUGAAACAGAAAAAUUAAAAGAAGAAAUAAAAGAAAAGUCAACACCCUUUUGUGUGAAAUGUGGGAUAGUUAAACCAUAUCGCAUUCUUAUCCUCGUCUGCACUUUCAGUGGUUCUGCCCUUCUGUGGUGGGCCUUCAGCCUCUCCACCUGGGUGAGGAUAGAAAUCCCAAGUGGCUCCCAAGUCCUUUUCAGCGCUCUUUUUGCAAUAUGCAGUGGUGAGAUCAAGUGUUGGAUUCCACUAUCAAAAUCAACUUUAUACUCCUGGUCUUACCUCAUUCCCUUCCUGAUACCCGGAAACAGUACUUUGUCUUCACAAUCGUCUUCUUCGUCAUAGGUAUCUGUGUGUUCCUUGCAUUACUGCUGCACUCUCUGCAUGUUUUGAAAGUAACCAACUUAUGCAAGGAUGCGAAAAUCACCUUUCUCUACCCUACUUUCAUCCU